rnacentral:tRNA from 1 species
GCCGGAGUGGCGGAAUGGCAGACGCGCUAGACUCAAAAUCUGGUAUCCGUAAGGGUGUGCGGGUUCGACUCCCGCCUCCGGUACCA